rnacentral:rRNA from 1 species
GAUGAACGCUGGCGGCGUGCCUAAUACAUGCAAGUCGAGCGAACGGACGAGAAGCUUGCUUCUCUGAUGUUAGCGGCGGACGGGUGAGUAACACGUGGAUAACCUACCUAUAAGACUGGGAUAACUUCGGGAAACCGUAGCUAAUACCGGAUAAUAUUUUGAACCGCAUGGUUCAAAAGUGAAAGACGGUCUUGCUGUCACUUAUAGAUGGAUCCGCGCUGCAUUAGAUAGUUGGUAAGGUAACGGCUUACCAAGGCAACGAUGCAUAGCCGACCUGAGAGGGUGAUCGGCCACACUGGAACUGAGAAACGGUCCAGACUCCUACGGGAGGCAGCAGUAGGGAAUCUUCCGCAAUGGGCGAAAGCCUGACGGAGCAACGCCGCGUGAGUGAUGAAGGUCUUCGGAUCGUAAAACUCUGUUAUUAGGGAAGAACAUAUGUGUAAGUAACUGUGCACAUCUUGACGGUACCUAAUCAGAAAGCCACGGCUAACUACGUG